GACCCAACCAAGUGUUUCCAUUACUACAGCUGCUUCUCCCUUCAGCUGAGGACAGAGGCAGUAUGCUGAGGUCUGGAAAGGGUGUCUAUCCAUCUACAGGUUGCUGUCAGCUCUUGGGAGAAAUGGCCAUCUGGAGCCUUCCUCUGAUGGCAGAUGUGGGAACAUCAAAGGAGAAGCAGGCGCCUCCUUUACCUCAGUCACCAAACAGAACACCUCCUUGCAGGCAGGACUGAUAGUGCUGCUCAGCUGGGAGCAGGAGGGAUACUGGUCAUCUCUGUCUCAUUUUGUGCCAUGCUGGAGAUGGGAGGUGAGUGGAAUUUUCUAGUCUCUGCCUUUCUGUGGCGUUACACUAUAACCUCCACUCAAUGUCUUCCACUUUCUCAUGGUCAGGAUUGAUGGAGCAAAGUCAUGGAUAGCAGAUGGAAGGUCAAAAUACAGCUGAUGUCAAAAUACAGUCCUGCCUCUUGCAGCAUAAUUAACUUACUGGACUCCAAGCAACCUAUCUUUCAUCAUCUUUGUGAUUGCAGGCCCAGUCCUAAUGACAGUCCCGAAUGCUGGAAUGAAG